AGCUUUGCGCAGUGGCGAUAUCGUAACCAAUGAGGUUUAUCCGAGGUGCGAUUAUUGCUAGUUGAAAACUUUUACCAAUACCCCGCCGAGACCACGUGAAAUACCGUGGGCUAUGGCAAUUUUUGGAGGGUCCGAAAGGAC